rnacentral:rRNA from 1 species
UGGGGAAUUUUGGACAAUGGGCGAAAGCCUGAUCCAGCAAUGCCGCGUGUGUGAAGAAGGCCUUCGGGUUGUAAAGCACUUUUGUCCGGAAAGAAAUCCUUGGCUCUAAUACAGUCGGGGGAUGACGGUACCGGAAGAAUAAGCACCGGCUAACUACGUGCCAGCAGCCGCGGUAAUACGUAGGGUGCAAGCGUUAAUCGGAAUUACUGGGCGUAAAGCGUGCGCAGGCGGUUUGCUAAGACCGAUGUGAAAUCCCCGGGCUCAACCUGGGAACUGCAUUGGUGACUGGCAGGCUAGAGUAUGGCAGAGGGGGGUAGAAUUCCACGUGUAGCAGUGAAAUGCGUAGAGAUGUGGAGGAAUACCGAUGGCGAAAGGCAGCCCCCCUGGGGCCAAAUACUGACGCUCAUGCACGAAAGCGUGGGGAGCAAACAGGAUUAGAUACCCUGGUAGUCCACGCCCUAAACGAUGUCAACUAGUUGUUGGGGAUUCAUUUCCUUAGUAACGUAGCUAACGCGUGAAGUUGACCGCCUGGGGAGUACGGUCGCAAGAUU